UACGGGGGGGGUAAGCGUUGUUCGGAAUUACUGGGCGUAAAGGGCGCGUAGGCGGCGCGGUAAGUCGGGUGUGAAAUCUCGGAGCUUAACUCCGAAACUGCAUUCGAUACUGCCGUGCUUGAGGACUGGAGAGGAGACUGGAAUUUACGGUGUAGCGGUGAAAUGCGUAGAUAUCGUAAGGAAGACCAGUGGCGAAGGCGGGUCUCUGGACAGUUCCUGACGCUGAGGCACGAAGGUCAGGGGAGCAAACGGG
rnacentral:rRNA from 1 species